GGGGAAUAUUGGGCAAUGGGCGAAAGCCUGACCCAGCGACGCCGCGUGGGUGAUGAAGGCCUUCGGGUUGUAAAGCCCUUUCGUGCGGAAAGAACAGCCCUGUAGUUAAUACCUGCAGGGUUUAACGGUACCGCAGGAAGAAGCACCGGCUAACUCCGUGCCAGCAGCCGCGGUAAUACGGAGGGUGCAAGCGUUGUUCGGAAUUAUUGGGCGUAAAGGGCGCGUAGGUGGUUGUGAUAGUCAGAUGUGAAAUCCUUUGGCUUAACUGAAGAACUGCAUCUGAAACUUCAUAACUCGAGUACAGGAGAGGGAAACGGAAUUCCCGGUGUAGAGGUGAAAUUCGUAGAUAUCGGGAGGAACACCAGUGGCGAAGGCGGUUUCCUGGCCUGAUACUGACACUGAGGCGCGAAAGCGUGGGGAGCAAACA
rnacentral:rRNA from 1 species